rnacentral:rRNA from 1 species
CCUACGGGAGGCAGCAGUAAGGAAUAUUGGUCAAUGGAGGCAACUCUGAACCAGCCAUGCCGCGUGCAGGAAGACUGCCCUAUGGGUUGUAAACUGCUUUUAUCCGGGAAUAAACCUGCUUACGUGUAAGUAGCUGAAUGUACCGGAAGAAUAAGGAUCGGCUAACUCCGUGCCAGCAGCCGCGGUAAUACGGAGGAUCCAAGCGUUAUCCGGAUUUAUUGGGUUUAAAGGGUGCGUAGGCGGCCUGUUAAGUCAGGGGUGAAAGACGGUAGCUCAACUAUCGCAGUGCCCUUGAUACUGAUGGGCUUGAAUGGACUAGAGGUAGGCGGAAUGAGACAAGUAGCGGUGAAAUGCAUAGAUAUGUCUCAGAACACCGAUUGCGAAGGCAGCUUACUAUGGUCUUAUUGACGCUGAGGCACGAAAGCGUGGGGAUCAAACAGGAUUAGAUACCCUGGUAGUCCACGCCCUAAACGAUGACACACNCUCUGUGAGUANACAGUGACNGGCGACGUACGAACGAACGUACGUUAGUUCGUACCUCGGUAGGGUACGACCCGCCCGACGGAGGGAACGUUAAAACGUUAAGUAAGUUAGUUACGGACCGUUGGUAGACGUACGUUACGGACGGACGGACCGACCGACGGGGAGGGGAGGGUAGG